UGACCUCAGAUCAGGCAAGGCAACCCGCUGAAUUUAAGCAUAUUAAUAAGCGGAGGAAAAGAAACUAACAAGGAUUCCCCUAGUAAUGGCGAAUGAAGCAGGAACAGCUCAAAUUUAAAAUCUCCAUUGCUUGCAACGGCGAAUUGUAGUUUCGAGAAGCACUUUCUCGGCGGAUCCGAGGUCGUCCAAGUUGCUUGGAACAGCACGUCGUAGAGGGUGACAACCCCGUCUGCGGCGACCUCGGCCGUUCACGAUGUGCUUUCGACGAGUCGGGUUGUUUGGGAAUGCAGCCCAAAAUGGGUGGUAAACUCCAUCUAAAGCUAAAUAUUGGCACGAGACCGAUAGCGAACAAGUACCGUGAGGGAAAGAUGAAAAGCACUUUGAAAAGAGAGUUAAAAAGUACGUGAAACCGUUAAAAGGGAAACGAAUGGGGUUAGCAAUGCGUCGUGCGAGAUUCAGCCGGUGGGUGGGCCAGGCGGGUCUGGCGGAUCUGAAUGGACCGCUGCCGUUCGGGUUGGUUUCCCGACCGUCGCACUUCUCGCAGGCGCGCGACAACGUCGGUUAGGGCUGGGUUUCAAAGGCGGUGGAAAGGUAGGUUUGGACUCUCGGGCCCGAACUGUUACAGUCCUCCGUUUGUCAUGGCCCGGACCUGACCGAGGAGCUUGCGGUGCAUGCCGUUCGGCUAGGGUCCCGUCUUCCCGGUCGGUCGUCGGAUGCGGUGGACUGCGUGCAGUGCGCCGCGACUGCUGCCGGUCGCGAGGGCGGUGAUUUCGUACUAUGCACCCACGACGUUGGCGGUCAUAUGGCCUCAUCCGACCCGUCUUGAAACACGGACCAAGGAGUCUAACAUGUGUGCGAGUCUUUGAGUGACCGAAACUCCGAGGCGUAAUGAAAGUGAAGGCGACUUCGGUCGCUGAGGUGAGAGCCUUUUCCACAAAAAAAAGGCGCAUCAUUGACCGACCUAUUCUACUCUUAGAAAGGUUUGAGUAAGAGCGCAUCUGUUGGGACCCGAAAGAUGGUGAACUAUGCCUGAAUAGGGUGAAGCCAGAGGAAACUCUGGUGGAGGCUCGUAGCGAUUCUGACGUGCAAAUCGAUCGUCAAAUUUGGGUAUAGGGGCGAAAGACUAAUCGAACUGUCUAGUAGCUGGUUCCCUCCGAAGUUUCCCUCAGGAUAGCUGGAACUUACGGCAGUUUUAUCAGGUAAAGCGAAUGAUAG
rnacentral:ncRNA from 1 species